CCUUAAUGUUUCUUACUGCUUUCACCGAAGAAUGUGAAGCUUUUUUCGCCACAUGCCUAUGUAAACAUCUUGAGUUUUUACAUUUAUUCUCGCUUUACAUCCGUUCUCAUGCUAAUCUCAAAUAUACCAUAGAUGUUAAACCCUUGUACGUUUGCUUUUACUUGCUAGGCCUUUACUACCAUCUUCUGUGAAUUGAUGGCAACAAGUUUUAUAUCCAGAUCACGUCAACUGCAUCAAUUUUCAGAAAUUGUGUCCUAUUACGGAAGCUUAUAUCCAUCUUGUGGGAGUAGGCCAAAGCUCCAUUUCAAAGCACUUCCAAGACAUGUGAAAUAAUUACAAGUUAGCAGCAAGUUCCAAUUUAGAAGAUUCUCUAAAAUUGUUGCAUUUAACCUUUGAAAUGCACUUUGAACAACCACUGGAAUGUGUAUUGUCUUCUCCAUAGUAUGGCAAUAUGAAUAAAUUGCGUAUAUACACCUUGCUUUUGUGCUUUUCCCCAUACACCCCAAACAACAAGUCCAAGCACCAACUUUUUUUGGAACAACAACUUCAUUAUCAUCUUGCUAAUUAAAUCCAACGUGAUUCGAAUAUGACGAGUACGCUUUUUUGGGGUGCCACGCGCGUAAGGAAGACCAGAACGAGAAUGAACAUUCUGAAUUUCGAGAACCUACGGGAAUAGAGUGAUGAUAAUGAACUAGAACCGAAAUCCAAGGUUGUCAGGAGGGGAAGAGCGCCAACAAAAAAUUGAUGAGACCACCAGGUAGACCUCCACUAGAGAUGGCUAACUCUGACUUUCUAGAAGCAAUUGUUGCUACUGCUGUCUGCUGCUGGUAAGACUACAAAUCGAUCUAACAAUGAGGUGAGAAAAGCAUCUCAUCUACAAAAGUAUGGAUCUUUGCAUUGAAGAUAUUCUUCUCACAGCUCCUGAUAUCGCCUUGUACGCAAUCAAUACGUAUCAAAAUCAAUGGGUUCGGCAUCCUUCUUCCUCUCUUUUGUUCUUUAGAUUUUUCUCUUUUAAAAUUUCCUAAUUCCUUUCUAUUAAGUUCCAUUAAUUACAGAACUGCAAGGAUGUUCAAGCUUCACUCUUUGUUGUUAAAAGCAACACUAGGGAGAUACUAUCGAGACACUACUUGAAGCAUAGAGUAUAUGCAUGCUGCAUGAAGUCUGGUUGAUCUGCUAAAAAGAAAAGUGAGUCUUGGUGCCUUGAUGGUGUAGGCCAAUCUAUUAGACUAUUAGUUCCUCUCUGGCUAGCUUGUAUCAUUUGAUAUUUAGAGCGCAAUUAUAUGAAUUUUGGAUAAAUUUUCAAAAUUAAAUCUUGCCAUCAAAUAUACCUUCACACUUUUGCAUCAA